ensembl:lincRNA
AGAAUAAUUUCCCUUUUAAGCAAUUCUUCUUUGUUUCUAUUGAGGGAAGCUGAACUAGGAAUACACCGUGUUAGAUCAGGAGAGAUUCAAGACAGACAUUGGGAAGAAUUUUCUAUCUGGGGUGUUGUUAAUCACUUUCGCACAGUAAAAAAGCCUGCAGAGCAGCCUUUUUUUUGAUGAGAGUUAAGGCAAUAAGACUAUUAAUAGUCUAACCCAGUAACAGCUGAAUUGACCAGAUAUCCUUCAAGACUUCUCAGAGACUUCCUCAGCACAUGGACUUGAGCUCUUACAUAAUGUUCUCAUUCACAGACUGCAUUGUGCCUGCAAUCUCAUGUGUUAUUAUUAUUAUUAGUAAUAGUAUUUUAAACGGAGUCUCAUUCUGUCUCCAGGCUGGACUGCAGUGGCAUGAUCUCGGCUCAUUGCAACCUCCGCCUCCUGUGUUCAAGCGAUUCUCCUGCCUCAGCCUGCCAAGUAGCUGGGAUUACAAGCGCCUGCCACCACACCCCAGCUAAUUUUUGUAUUUUUAGUGGAGACGGGGUUUCACCACGUUAGCCAGGAUGGUCUCGAUCUCCUGCUUCGUGAUCUGCCUGUCUCGGCCUCUCAAAGUGUUGGGAUUACAGGCGUGAGCCAUCGCGUCCGGCCCCAUCUGUUAUUAUUCAAGGCAGCAGUAGGGCUGACUGGAGCCAUUGUACAGUGUCGGGAACAUACCAGCACACCGAGAAUAGCAUCAUGUCAUAAGGACCCAGAGCAGGUGGACCCUGCUGUGAUGCACAAAGGUGAGGGUGCAGCUGCCCAGGACACACUCAUGCAUGUUUGUGUGGACCAUGGAAGAUGGAAGGGGAAGAGCUGUCAGGUUGUUGGGGCAGAGGGUGCGCAUGAGUACUCGCCUGUAAGUCAUGUUGUAGAAUCACCUCGCACAGCCACUGUAUCUUCCCACCAGCAUCACCAGAUAACUCCCUUAUCGUCACUUCAGUAAUGCUUGAUUUUGUCUGACUUUUUUAUGUUUACCAGUUCAGAUAAAGAGAAUUGCACUCUCAUCAUUGCUAUAAUGUACACUUUUUUGACUACUAACGAGUCUGAGAAUCUUUAGAUAAAUUUGUUAGUCAUUAAUGUUUUUUCUCUCUCUUUUUUCUGUUUUUUUGAGAUGGAGUCUUACUCUGUCGCCAGGCUGGAGUGCAGUGGCAUGAUCUCAGCUCACUGCAACCUCUGCCUCCUGGGUUCAAGUGAUUCUCCUGCCUCAGCCUCCCGAGUAGCUGGGGCUACAGGUGCCCCCCACCACACCCAGCUAAUUUUUGUAUGUUUAGUAGAGACGGGGUUUCACCAUGUUGGCCAGGCUGGUCUCAAACUCCUGACCUCGUGAUCCAUCUGCCUCGGCCUCCCAGAGUGCUGGGAUUACAGGCGUUAGCCACCGCGCCCGGCCAUGUUUUCUCUUCUUAAUCUGUUUGUACUUUCAUUUACUUUUUCUUUCUUUUUUAAUAAGAAGUUUUUAUUUUGGAUAUCAAUCUUUAUAUCUUCAAUAAUGUUGUAAAUAUCUUUUUGUUCCCACUAGCUUUUCUUACAAACUUUUAUUCCUAGUGUCUUGUUGCACAGAAAUUUUAUUUUAUUAUGGUCAAUUUUGUCGGCCUUUAUCUUUAUAAUUUGUAUGGGGUUCUUUUCUUGUUUUUUUUUGAUUUGUAUAAAAGUGAUUUUUUUACCCUAAAGUCAAAAGUUAAAAUUUAAUGUUUUCUUCCUAUUUCAGAGGACCAUGCAAGAUAUGAUAAAGAUCUAUGUCACUGAAUUUUGGUUCUGUAUUUGUAUCUCAGCUUCCCGGAAAUAAAAAAGAAUUCUAACAUUCAUACUUUCAGUAUUUUAUGUGAGAGGUUUUGUUGUCAAAAUCAAGUCUGAGAGCAAUGUUUAUUGGGGCCUUUAAU